rnacentral:rRNA from 1 species
GACGAACGCUGGCGGCGUGCCUAAUACAUGCAAGUCGAACGCAGUGGGGACGGGUGAGUAACACGUGGGUAACCUCCCAUCAGAGGGGAUAACACUUGGAAACAGGUGCUAAACCGAUACUGGUGGAGGGACCCGCGGGGCAUUAGCUAGUUGGUGGGGUAACGGCCCACCAAGGCCACGAGGCAUAGCCGGCCGGAGAGGGUGACCGGCCACACUGGGACUGAGACACGGCCCAGACUCCUACGGGAGGCAGCAGUAGGGAAUCUUCGGCAAUGGGCGAAAGUCUGACCCAGCAAUGCCGCGUGAGUGAAGAAGGUUUUCGGAUCGUAAAACUCUGUUGUUAGGGAGGCGGUAUCUAACCAGAAAGCCACGGCUAACUACGUGCCAGCCGCCGCGGUAAUAC